rnacentral:misc_RNA from 1 species
GGGCUACAUGCUCGACAAGGCCGCCGCCGUCAACCGUGCCCUCGACCUGGCCAUCCCAAUUGCCUACCCUGAGCGCAUCCACGAGGCCAUGCGCUACUCCCUCCUCGCCGGCGGCAAGCGUGUCCGCCCUAUCCUCUGCCUUGCCGCAUGCGAGCUCUCCGGCGGCAGCGAUCUCCAGGGCAUGCCCCCGGCCCUCUCCGUGGAGAUGAUCCACACCAUGUCUCUCAUCCAUGACGAUCUCCCCUG